AACGCGAAGAACCUUACCCAGGUUAGAAGUGCAGUGGACGAUACCAGAGAUGGUAUUUCCCGAAAGGGCUGCUGUAUAGGUGCUGCAUGGCUGUCGUCAGCUCGUGCCGUGAGGUGUUGGGUUAAGUCCCGCAACGAGCGCAACCCUUAUCAUUAGUUGCCAACACGCGAGGUGGGGACUCUAAUGAGACUGCCUAGGUUAACUAGGAGGAAGGUGAGGAUGACGUCAAGUCCGCAUGGCCUUUAUGUCUGGGGCUACACACGUGCUACAAUGGUCGGUACAAAGGGCAGCGAAAUCGCAAGAUGAAGCAAAUCUCAGAAAGCCGAUCUCAGUUCAGAUUGUAGUCUGCAACUCGACUACAUGAAGUUGGAAUUGCUAGUAAUGGCGGGUCAGCAACACCGCCGUGAAUACGUUCCCGGGCCUUGUA
rnacentral:rRNA from 1 species